CAGUAGCCGCGGGAAUACGAAGGGUGCAAGCGUUACUCGGAAUUACUGGGCGUAAAGCGUGCGUAGGUGGUGGUUUAAGUCCGUUGUGAAAGCCCUGGGCUCAACCUGGGAAUUGCAGUGGAUACUGGGUCACUAGAGUGUGGUAGAGGAUAGUGGAAUUUCCGGUGUAGCAGUGAAAUGCGUAGAGAUCGGAAGGAACAUCUGUGGCGAAGGCGACUAUCUGGGCCAACACUGACACUGAGGCACGAAAGCGUGGGGAGCAAGCAGGAUUAGAUACCCCUGUAGUCCCUGUCUCUUAUAA
rnacentral:rRNA from 1 species